GUGCAAUUGUGGAAGAACCGCUGCCAUACGUAUUGUCAGAACAAUAAGAAUGGAAAUGAAGGGCGUUUGUGCUUUGUUUGCCCAUCAAAAUAUAGUACCACUCCCACUCCCCAUUGCAAUUACUUCAACUUCGUGGCUGAAGAUGAUGAAGGCGUUAUGUCCACAAUCCCUUCCAACACUAGAGCUGGUGAUGCUUUAACAGUAGAACACUUCAACGAUGUAAGGACGAGGCUUCAUGACUUGGGAAAUGACCAUGGUCGAAGGCUUGAAAGGAUAGAAAAUAUAAUCAAAGCGAUGGUGUAUUUCAUUAUUUUUUCUAGGGCCUUGCUACAUGCCCCUAAUUUUUGGCCCCCUAAUCCCCCUAAAUUUCAAACCAAGGCAAAAAAAAAAAA